rnacentral:rRNA from 1 species
UACGGAGGGUGCAAGCGUUAUCCGGAUUCACUGGGUUUAAAGGGUGCGUAGGUGGGUUGGUAAGUCAGUGGUGAAAUCUCCUCGCUCAACGAGGAAACUGGCCGUAAAACUGUAGGGAUUGAGUACACUUGAAGCGGGCGGAAUGUGUCAUGUAGCGGUGAAAUGCUUAGAUAUGACACAGAACACCGAUUGCGAAGGCAGCUCGCUAAAUUGUAACUGACGCUGAGGCACGAAAGCGUGGGGAUCAAACAGG